rnacentral:lncRNA from 1 species
CAGAGGCUGGGUUGUAAACCCAAAAUAUCUGAGAUGGGUCUCAGUGAAUUUAGAAAGUUUGUUUUGCCAUGGUUAAGGAUGUACCCAUGACACAGCCUCAGGAGAUCCUGGCCACGUGUGCCCAAGGUGGUUGGGGUACAGCUUGCUUUUACACAUUUUAGGGAGACACAGGACAUCAAUCAAUGUGUGUAAGAUGUACAUUGGUUCGGUUCAGUAAAGUGGGACAACUCGAAGUGGGGGCUUCCCAGUUAGCAGCAGUUAACAUCAUGCUACUUGAUAAGCACCCUCGGAACUACAAAUUGAAAGAAUACUAAGAGAAGCAAGAAAAUGGACGCUUAGCCCUGAUGGGAAAUCAUACCUCGUUUCGUGACAAUCUAUUACAUUCAUGUCAAGAGGAAAGGUUGGACAACUUAUUUGUCUUUUCUCUUACCUAAGUCGUUCGUCUGCUCAAAUCCUCCUUGCUUGCCAAAGAAACGUCUUCUUCCAACAUCAGCAGCGGCACAGUCCACAAGCCUUUGUGGUAUUCUGACAUGGCCAUCUUUUGUUUGAGGACACACUGCAAGGGACAGAGGGAAGCAUUUUCCUGACUCCUGAACGGUGUUAGCCACAAAAGUAGUUGUUUUGAGUUACAGGUUAUGCUGUGCCAAUGCUGAGCAUGGUGCCCAAGUGACAGAGGCACCCUGUCUUCUUUUUUUUUUUGAGACAGAGUCUCCCUCUGUCACCCAGGCUGGAGUGCAAUGGCACGGAUCUUGGCUCAUUGAACCUCCCAGAUUCAAGCAAUUCUCCUGCCUCGGCCUCCCGAGUAGCUGGGAUUACAGGCGACCGUCACCACGCCCAACUAAUUGUUGUAUUUUUAGUAGAGACAGGGUUUCACCAUUUUCGCCAGGCUGGUCUCAAACUCCUGACCUCAAGUGAUCUGCCUGCCUCAGCCUUCCAUGGUGC